UAUCCAGCUGACCUAUCCUGGGGUUUGACGUCAGGACGCAGCACUGCGUGUAGGCAAGUAGGAGAAACUUUCCAAAAUGGAUGUGCAGCUUAUCCCAGUGAGAAGCCAUGGAGCAGGACUACCUGACCCUGGUGAUAGAUCUCGAGGAGGGUUACAGCAUCUUCUGCUAAGAUUUCAUCAAAUUCGUGUGGGAUGCAGGUCAUUCUUGCCAAUACCACAAACACUCCUGUUCUGCUGCUUGCUCCCUCAUCCAGCUUGAAAUAACAUCAGACUGGAAUUUGGAUGAUCAGUGGUUUGUUCUCACAACGUCUUCUUUUUAGAAGCCACUCCAUAACUGAAGAUGAGUGGUAAAAUAAAAGAGGAACUUGUUUAUACGGUGCCUGGUUUGUGCUGCUGAAGUCUUCACUAUCUCCAAGUUUAAUGGAUGUUCUUAUAUGUUGGUGGCUGCUACAGGAAUAUUGUUAUUGCACUCUCGUUCUGUCUCCCGGAGUUAAAUGGGAUCUCAUAAGUUAUUCUUAUGCUGUUGAGUGGGGGGUAACUAAAAGGCGUGAAUAAAAAGCAAAAUAGAUCAUGCAGAGCCCACACAAUAGAUAUCAAUACACUCUGGACAAUGAAUGGGAACCCCUCUUAGGAUUUCUACACACGUCUGCAACAGCUUGGACUGAAUUUGACCGGCACAACUGAAUCCCAGACAUCUCUUGUGUGAGCCGUGAGAAAAUAAGUGCAAGACAUCAAAUUAUUACAACUAAGUUAACAGAGGGGCCUGUCUCCCUCCCCCCUCAGAGAAUCUCCCCAUGUACCAGACUGGGUACCAGCUCACUCAUCUCUAGCCUAUACAAAGGAUAUGUCUAAGCCUGGAACACACAGACAAGCAUGUGCUUGGGCUUCUAUCAUCUUCCAAGAUAUAGUUUUCUGUUGAUAUUGUUUAAUGGUCCUUAUCCAUGAAAUGUUGCUGCCUUGAAGCCUGUGUUUGCAAGUUAAGAGCAAAGGGGCAUUUCCUGAUCCUCACACG